CAGUCGUACCUGCGGAUGAUCAGCUUUUUGAGUGUGAUUAUGUGGUUUAUGAGGAGUUUAACCGCCUUCAUGUAUUCGCAUAUUUGUGCUCUUGGGUGUUACUU
rnacentral:rRNA from 1 species